rnacentral:tRNA from 1 species
GCGCCCGUAGCUCCAGUUGGAUAGGUGUUGGUUUCGAAGCCAAAGGUCACAGGUUCGACUCCUGUCGGGCGCG